AUGCAUGGAACCUCUUAGCAUUAUUAGAUUAUUGAACCCCAAUAAUGGAUCAAACCUAGGAAGAAUAACCAAAACAUCAAAGAACUCCCCACAAAAUUAAAUCUAAUCAAAUAUUAAAUGUGUUUACUAGUCUCUACUAGUGAAGGGAAAUCCGAAAGGUUGACAAACCAAUCCACAUCAUUCAACCAAGCAUGCUGAUGAGUGAUGAAGGGAUAGAAACAAGCUUGUCAA